AGUGAACGCUGGCGGCGUGCUUAACACAUGCAAGUCGAACGAGAACGGAAUAUAGCUUGCUAUAUUUGUCAGCUAAGUGGCGCACGGGUGAGUAAUGUAUAGAUAACCUGCCCUUAAGAAAGGAAUAACUGUUGGAAACGACUGCUAAUGCCCUAUAUGCCUUUAAUACAUAAGUAUGCAAGGGAAACCCUUUAGUGCUUAAGGAUGGGUCUGUAUGGUAUCAGCUUGUUGGUGAGGUAAUGGCUCACCAAGGCUAUGACGCCUAACUGGCUUGAGAGGAUGAUCAGUCACACUGGAACUGAGACACGGUCCAGACUCCAACGGGAGGCAGCAGUGGGGAAUAUUGCACAAUGGACGAAAGUCUGAUGCAGCAACGCCGCGUGGAGGAUGACACAUUUCGGUGCGUAAACUCCUUUUAUAUAGGAAGAUAAUGACGGUACUAUAUGAAUAAGCACCGGCUAACUCCGUGCCAGCAGCCGCCGUAA
rnacentral:rRNA from 1 species